rnacentral:rRNA from 1 species
CCUUCAAGAUGGGGACAACACUUCGAAAGGGGUGCUAAUACCGAAUGAAUGUAAGAGUAUCGCAUGAGACACUUACUAAAGGAGGCCUCUGACAUAAGCUUCCGCUUGAAGAUGAGCUUGCGUCUGAUUAGCUAGUUGGUGAGGGUAAAGGCCCACCAAGGCGACGAUCAGUAGCCGGUCUGAGAGGAUGAACGGCCACAUUGGGACUGAGACACGGCCCAG